CUUCCUCUUUGGUAGGAAUCAGCAUCCCUAGGGCUUCAAUUCUUUAUCCCUCUGAGGUUGUUUUGGUAUUGGAGCAGUUAGUCCUCGCCUUGGGACACUGGCCCCCAACCUCCAGGCCCA
rfam:Erinaceus europaeus unplaced genomic scaffold scaffold00518, whole genome shotgun sequence